rnacentral:rRNA from 1 species
ACUAGCUAACUGAAAUCACAAAAUCACAAAAUGUGCUUAUUGUGAUAACGUAAGGGAAAAAAAUGAUAUUACCUUACUAUAAGUGUUGUCUAAAUAACUGGUGCCAGAAGACUCGGUAACACCAGAAACGCGAACGUUAGUCGUCUUAAACAGGCGUAAAGGGUAAGUAGGCUGCUUUAAAAUCUAUUUUUAAAUAAGCUAAUUUAUAAUAAUCCGCUAAAAAGCUGAUUGCGCGUAGCGCCUCCCUUAGGAUAUUUUAUUAAAAAGGAGAGGCGCUACGCAGACUAAAAAAUUUCAUACCUUAAAUUAUAUUUAAGGCUAACUUACUUUUAAAAAUGAAAAUAAGGAAUUAUAAAAAUUUAAAAAAUAGAAACAUUUAAAGCUAGAAUCAUAAUUGAGAUAAACCAAAUAAUACUUAUGUGUAAGGGCGAUAUCUGAAAAUACUAAGUAGAAUACUAAUAGUGAAAACUUUUUAUCUGGUAAUGAUUGACGCUGAGGUACGAAAGUGAGAACAGGGAAUAGGAUUAGAUACCCAGUUACCUCUCACCGUCAACGAUGAAUGGUAGUUGUUAGUUUAAUUAAAUUAGUGACGAUGUUAACACGAUAACCAUUCCGCCUUGAGAGUACGGUUGCAAAACUGAAACCAAAAAAAUUAGUCGGUCUCGGAGCCAAACGGGACUAAGCAUU